GCACCACCAGGCGUGAAGCCUGCGGUUUAAUUGGAGUCAACGCCGGGAAUCUUACCGGGAGCGACAGCAGAGUGAAGGCCAGGUUGAAGGUCUUGCUGGACGAGCUGAGAGGUGGUGCAUGGCCGUCGCCAGUUCGUGCCGUGAGGUGUCCUCUUAAGUGAGGUAACGAACGAGACCCGUGCCCCAUGUUGCUAACAGUAUCUAAAGGAUAGCUGAGCACUCUUGGGGGACCGCAGCCGACAAGGCUGAGGAAGGUGCGGGCCACGGCAGGUCAGUAUGCCCCGAAUCUCCCGGGCCACACGCGGGCUGCAAUGGUAGUGACAGAGGGCUGCGACCCCGAGAGGGGGAGCCAAUCCCUAAACACUAUCUCAGUUGGGAUCGAGGGCUGCAACCCGCCCUCGUGAACAUGGAAUGCCUAGUAACCGCCGGUCAUCAUCCGGCGGUGAAUACGUCCCCGCUCCUUGCACACACCGCCCGUCGUUCCAUCCGAGUGGGGUUUGGGUGAGGCGUAGUCCUUGGUGGCUGCGUCGAACUCAGGUUCCGCAAGGAGGGAA
rnacentral:rRNA from 1 species